rnacentral:tRNA from 1 species
AGCCCGCGAGGUGGAAUACGCCAAAGUGCAAAUUUGGAGACGCACCCUAAAGGUGCCGGGGCUUC